CUAUUUUUAAUUUUUUUUUUAAAUUUUAUUUUUAAUUUUUUUUUUAAUUAUUUUUUAAUUUUCUGUAUUUCCCCCCCCAAGGCAUGAGCGCGGUGCUUUAAGCCGUGGGUCGCGGUGCGCUGUGCGGGGCCGAGUGCCGCUCGGCCCCGGCGAUAACCGGAGAGGAGCGCGUUCGCAGGGAUAACUCAGCGUCUGCCUUCCGUGAGCCGGCACCGCCGCGAUUUCCAUCCUGGCCGUGCGCCAAACGCAGCGUCGUGGCGCCUGCUUAUUCCUCUCCCCGUGCUCUGGAGUUGUGGGCUUCGUUCUGCUUGCUUUCUGUAAAAUAACCAUUUGAAAAUGUCUUGUUUUAACGUUGGAAUUAACCUAAAACACCCUAAAAACGUUUCUAGCAAUACUACCGUUUCUAGCAUUACUACCAAAAGGUUGAUCUGGGAUGGAGACCACUACAUUAGCUUUCCUUCAAUGCAGAAAUACGUAAGAUGCCAGUUGGAUUGCCCUUCUCCAGUGGACAGGUUGCCAGCCUGAGAGGAAUGGUUCUGGUUUCAUUAUUAUUGUGUACUGAAUUUUGUAUUUAUUUUCAUGGGACUCUGAAUGAAGCCUGAACUUCUAUGUUUUUGAGAGGAGAAUCCAAAAAAGAAAAGAGUUCCUAGUAACUAGACCUGAUGGCAUUUCAGAGCAGGAUUUGUUUGGGAGGUGGCCAAGCUCUGCAAAUCAGUUAGGGAAAAGGGUCCUCCAUCUUUCACACAGAGGAGCAGAUGUACGGGUGGGAAGGAAGAAAAAUGGAUAUGAGGAAGCUAAUUACCACUGGAGUCCCCAAAAGUAUAAAGUGGCCUGUAGGUAUGCUCAUCUUCUCUCUCCUCGUCCUGGUUUGCUCACUGAGCAAGCUUGUCUCGAAGGCAGCACUUUCCCUUGGCUGGAGCAGGAGGACACCAGCUGAUGUGUUUGCAGCAGCCACCUCUCCCUUAUGCUUUCUUGCCUGUUCAAGAGUCCAGUCCUGUUCCAGUCCAGCCAGUGGAAAAAGAGCAAAACUGCCCAGAGAGGCAGCCCUUAUGCUGAAAGCCUGGGAGAGCAACAUCACUGCUGAAUUUUUACUCAACUGCUUGUGAGCCUGGGGGUAUGCAACAUCUGUUUAUCAUUGUACUCUGAUGAAACCCUGAUAAAGAUGAAACUGCUGCAAAGAAAUGUGGCCUUACAGUGGGAAACUAAAAUUUCAGAAAUCAGACAGCUCAAAGAAUAAAUGAAAUAAAAGUUUAAAUGACAAGAUCCAGCCAUGGUCAGAGGUGAUGAUGAGGAGCAAAAAAAUUGGAUUGUGGUGAGCUGAAGCUACCCCUGUGUGUAUUCAGCUGGUCUCAGUCAAACUUCCAGAGUCUCCAGGAAGAACAACCAGCUCCAAAUCUUCAUUAUUCAAUGUGCUGAACAACAUCCUCUGAAUUGCCCAGUGUCCACUUGAGCUACCAUUGUCUGAGGUGACAGGAGGGAGGAGAGUGGAAAACAAACCACCACUAAAAUGAAAAAGUGUGAGAAGCCUCCCAGUGGUAAAUCAGUCUGUUUAGUCAUACUGAACUCUACAGAGUUUUGACAAGACAGAGCUUUCAGCAGCAGUCUAGCAUCUCUGGAUUUUUCACACCAUGGAUGGGAUUCCAGGGUGACUGGAGUUCAAGUCCUUUGCAUCUUAGAGAUACCUCCUCUGUGAGCAGGUCUGUUUUUAAUGUACAGUUCAAAUGCCUGGAGCAAAUAAACACACAUCUAAAGAAGCUGGGAGCCUUGCAGUCGUAAUCCAAGCUGUUUGUGCCCUGGUGGUCGUGCCUGUUUUCAGACACCCCAAAUGUGGGCCUAGGCCAGAGAAGUGAAGAGCAUCUCCCAGCAGUCGAAGCAGGCUCUGCAGCUGAGCCACUGCACAUGGAGAUGUGGCCAGCGGAAAUUCAGAGUACCAGGCCUUUUUUGAGUGUGUAUUUUAAAUGCGUGGAGAGGAAAAAGCUACCCAGGGUCCGAAGAACACAGGAGGUUCCAGCUAUAAGAAAUCUGGAGCAAAUCUGCUGCAUUACCUAUGAACAGGACAAUGGGGCCCCAAUGAGUCACCCUAUUCAUGUAUUUUUGGAACCCAGAGGAAUUGGUUUGACUAUUUACAGAUUAUAACAGUUGGUAGUUGAAUGUUUUAUUUUCAUUCCCAGUUGGUACAAUAUGUUCACAGCUGAUGCUAAUGGCUUGCCCAUUUGAUAUCACAUAUGGUCCACUAUUUGGGUCCCCUAAAGCUUUCUUUUGUGGUCAAGCUGCUUUCAAACUUGUGUAUAUUUAGGUUUGUUCUGUCUGCUGGAAAGGUGAAUAUGAAACUCUGAAACUGGGCAUCUUUUUAGUAACUCAGCAGUUCUGUUGAUAAAGAUUCAAAGAAUUUGAGACUAAAUGUCCCCUAAAGAAUAUUUUAAUAUAAAAUUGAAUAAAAACAAAUGUCUUAUAAAACCAUGUGAAAUUCUGAAACAAAUAUCCUUUCCUCUGUCUUUGAAGCUGUGAUUGAGUUACCCUCCAGUGUAUGGAUACCACUGAGCAUCAUCAGGACUGCUUUUGCUGGGUGUUCACUUGCAUUGGAAACCAAUUUAUACAUAAUUUGUAUUGCUUAAAUUGUCAUUUCUAUUUUUAGUUGAAUGUUACUGUUAUGAUAGUGUUUUGUAAAAAGAUCUAAGGAAGCAAAUUAAUUU